AGCCGUUGGGAAUUUUCCACAAUGGGGGAAAGUCUGAAGGAGCACCGCCGGGGGAGUGAAGAAGGUCCUUGGGUUGGAAAAGUUUGUUGUGAGGGAAGAAAAAGUUUGGGAGUAAUUGCCGGAACGUUGACGGUACCUCAUAAAAAAACCACGGGUAAAUUCGGGCCAGCAGGCGGGGUAAAAAGUGGGGGGCCAGGGUUUUCUGGAAUCAUUGGGGGUAAAAGGCGCGCCGGGGGUUCUUUAAAUUUGAAGUGAAAAUCCCACGGGUUAACCCUGGAAAGUCAUUUGAAAAUGGGGGAGUUGAGUUCAGAAGAGGGAAGGGGAAAUUCCAGGGGAAGGGGGGGAAUGGGUAGAAAAUUGGGGGAACACCAGGGGGGAAGGCGGGCUUUCUGGUCCAAAACUGACGGUGAGGCGCGAAAGCGUGGGGAGCAAACAGGAUUAGAUACCCUGGUAGUUCCACGCCGUAAACGAUGAGUGAUAAGUGUGGGGGGGUUUCCGCCCCUGAGUGCCGCAGCUAACGCAUUAAGCACUC
rnacentral:rRNA from 1 species